rnacentral:rRNA from 1 species
AUUGAACGCUGGCGGCAGGCCUAACACAUGCAAGUCGAGCGGAUGAAGGGAGCUUGCUCCUGGAUUCAGCGGCGGACGGGUGAGUAAUGCCUAGGAAUCUGCCUGGUAGUAGGGGAUAACGUCCGGAAACGGGCGCUAAUACCGCAUACGUCCUGAGGGAGAAAGUGGGGGAUCUUCGGACCUCACGCUAUCAGAUGAGCCUAGGUCGGAUUAGCUAGUUGGUGGGGUAAAGGCCUACCGAGGCGACGAUCCGUAACUGGUCUGAGAGGAUGAUCAGUCACACUGGAACUGAGACACGGUCCAGACUCCUACGGGAGGCAGCAGUGGGGAAUAUUGGACAAUGGGCGAAAGCCUGAUCCAGCCAUGCCGCGUGUGUGAAGAAGGUCUUCGGAUUGUAAAGCACUUUAAGUUGGGAGGAAGGGCAGUAAGUUAAUACCUUGCUGUUUUGACGUUACCAACAGAAUAAGCACCGGCUAACUUCGUG